rnacentral:lncRNA from 1 species
GUGCCGCCGCCGCCUGCCCCUGCCCUCGCCCUGCCCCUGCCCUCCUCCUCCAGCCGCGCCGCCGCCGUCCCCGCCCGCGCCGCCGCCUCCCACCUGGAUCCUUCCUCUUGAGGUGAGAAUCACAGGGUCAACGCGAGGAAUCAAAGUCUUAUCCUUCCACUUCCCAGGUUUGGAUUCCGUCCAUGGCGUCCCAGGAUCACCACCACCACCACNNN